GGGGCUAUAGCUCAGAUGGGAGAGCGCCUGCCUUGCACGCAGGAGGUCAGCGGUUCGAUCCCGCUUAGCUCCACCA
rnacentral:tRNA from 1 species